UUCUACAGUUGCAAUUUCAGCCAUUUUCCCAAAAGAAUAUAUAUAUACAGAAACCUAAUAAAUACAAAUAUCUUACACAAAAUUUAGAUAUGAAAUACAUAUUUAAAAUAUAUUGUAUAUAGCAUAUACAAUUCAUAUCAAUAACAAGAUUUUCGAAUAGUACCAUACCUCCUCCACUUUCUCUUGUUCAGAUUCAGAAUCUGAUGCAACGGGACUUGCAAUUUUAC
rnacentral:lncRNA from 1 species